AUGCAAACUCUGUCUCUCUCCACACAAGGAUUGCCUCUGUCCUUCUACCAACGUACGGAACCACGUAAACCCCACUUUUCCAAGAAGGAGCCGCGAAGCAAUCCCACCGCCCUGCAUCUUCGUUGCCCAGCAGGUCAUACGCUCCGUCUCAUCUCAUCUCACUAUAUAAGUCGAGGAGUGGAGCCUUCUCGGCGCAUCAUCCUUGUCGCCAUCACCAUUCGCUUUGCUCCUCCCCUUCCGCCACACCCGCGAAAACCCUACCCUCCAAAGGCUGCUUCCCUGGUCAUCGCAUCGCGGGGCGAGAUGUCCGGGCACCAGAAGGGCGGCGACAUCGAGGCGGGGACGUCCGGUGGCAUUGCCACGGCGCCGGCGCAGGUGCUGUACCCCGGGAUGGCGGAGAGCCCCGAGCUGCGCUGGGCGCUCAUCCGGAAGAUCUACGUCAUCCUCUCCCUGCAUCUUCUGCUCACCGCCGUCGUCGCGGCCGUCGUCGUCAAGGUCCGGGCCAUCCCGCACUUCUUCGUCUCCUCCUACGCCGGCCUCGGGCUCUACAUCUCCAUCCUCAUCUUCCCCUUCAUCGUGCUGUGCCUGUUGUACUGCUACCGUCAGAAACACCCAGUCAACCUGCUGCUGCUCGGCGUCUUCACAGUGGCCAUCAGCUUCUCUGUGGGCAUGACAUGUGCCUUUACUAGCGGCAAGGUCAUUUUGGAGGCUGCGAUUCUUACAACGGUGGUUGUCUUCAGCCUCACUGCUUACACUUUCUGGGCUGUAAAGAGGGGCAAGGACUUCAGCUUCCUUGGUCCUUUCUUAUUUGCUUCUCAUCAUGUUGCUCGUCUUUGGUUUCAUUCAGGUCAGAUACCGUCCGUUUAUCAGGCUUCUCUAUUCUACAAUCAGUCAAUACUGAUCAUGGCUUCUCUAAAUAUGCAGAUCCUCUUCCCGCUGGGCAAGCUCUCACACAUGAUCUACGGUGCGCUGGCGGCACUCAUCUUCAGUGGCUACAUUGUGUACGACACGGACGACAUCAUCAAGCGUUAA
rnacentral:rRNA from 1 species